ensembl:lncRNA
CUAGAACCUGUCUCACUACAGGAUGAAGCCUAGCUUACGAGAAGGGAGGUGAGGCUCUUGUCUCUCACUGCCAUCAACAGGUUUUGAGACGGGGACACACAGAGGUCCCGCUAGGCCUUGGUUCUGUCCUCAGUAAAACAAGAUGGUGGUGAGUUGGCCUUCCUCAGAAUCCGCAGUAUCACGGCUGCAUACAGCAGAAAAUGGCAGUUCAAAUUCGUCAUUUGUUAUCUCACACAAAAGGCAGAAGAGAAAGCGCCUCAGGCAAGGGACAACCGGCAGCUCCAUACCAUCGGAGGUCCAGCUUCCUUCUCUGCAAGGGAGCUGGGGCCCCUCUGGGCGAACAUUGCCCACUCACACUGUUCCCAGGCAACAGCGCCUAUCUCUCCUUGCGGAGAGAAGGAAAGCUUUCCCAGAGGCUCUGCCCAGAGCCGUCUCCUCACAUCUCAUUGGAGGAACUUGGUCAUAUGCCAACUCCUGAACCAAUCAUUGGUUAGGAACAUAGAACUACCUGGAUUAGCUAGGAACCAAUCUGGACUUAACUCUGAGUCACCUUACUCUGAGUGAUUGGAAGGGGAAGAUGGCACCUACGAAGUACAGAGGUUCUGUUCAUAAGGGGAAAGAUGCGGAUUAGAUCCGAAAUGGGCAACCUGCAGUGUCUGCCAUAGAUACCACUUACAUUUAAAUGGCAAACAACAGAUCCUGUCCCCUUCCCAUCUGACCUUCUUCCUCCAUUUCUCCCGUCUUCCUUUUUAUCCUUUUAAUCUCUAUUCCAGUUAUAACUGGAGGGAAUAUAAACCAAAUCAAACUGGUUUAAGACUUUAAAAAAAUUACUGGCUUAUGUAACUGAAAAGUUGAAGAGGAGAUUGGCCCAGCUUGAUCCAAGGAUUUGAGUGGUAUCAUCACGGAGGGCUAGACUUUUCCAUCUCUUCAUUGUCAGCUCUGUGCCAGCUUAUUUCUCAGGCUAACUCUAUUUGUUAGCUAAUGUGGCCUUUGGUGACUCAAAACUUCCACAAUCCCCAACUCAAGGCUCUGGAAAGACAAUGUUCCAGUUAAUAGUUAUGAAGUCACUCUUGAAGAGGCAGCGGGAGCACAGAGAAGUUUUCUGGUUGUGAAUCAUGUGGGAUCGUAGCUUGCCUGCCAGAGAUCAAACCUACACCCCCUGCAUUGGAAGGCUCACGGCUUGGAGGGUGGGGUGACUCUGAGGUCACCUCAGCACUUAGCAGAGUGGCCAGCCUCGGUCAGCACUCAGGACGUGUGAUGAUGAACGAACCCACUUGCAGACGGAUGGCUCCAUUUGCCUUCUUGUUGCUCUAAGUUCACU